ACUCCUACGGGGGGCAGCAGUAGGGAAUCUUCCACAAUGGGCGCAAGCCUGAUGGAGCAACACCGCGUGAGUGAAGAAGGGUUUCGGCUCGUAAAGCUCUGUUUGUUAAAGAAGAACACGUAUGAGAGUAACUGUUCAUACGUUGACGGUAUUUAACCAGAAAGUCACGGCUAACUACGUGCCAGCAGCCGCGGUAAUACGUAGGUGGCAAGCGUUAUCCGGAUUUAUUGGGGCGUAAAAGAGAGUGCAGGCGGUUUUCUAAGUCUGAUGUGAAAGCCUUCGGCUUAACCGGAGAAGUGCAUCGGAAACUGGAUAACUUGAGUGCAGAAGAGGGUAGUGGAACUCCAUGUGUAGCGGUGGAAUGCGUAGAUAUAUGGAAGAACACCAGUGGCGAAGGCGGCUACCUGGUCUGCAACUGACGCUGAGACUCGAAAGCAUGGGUAGCGAACAGGAUUAGAUACCCCGUGGUAGGAUAGCG
rnacentral:rRNA from 1 species